CGUCAAGGAACCUGACUUUGCGGUCCAGUGAGCCAAUGGCAAGCAAGUUCCCACCACUGUAGUGGAUUACCCUGUGUGGAUCUGACCUGGGACGAACGUGGUAGCCGGCACCUGGGCAUUUGGCCCAAGCGGUCCUCCUCCUGAACGGAAGGGUGCACGACCACAGUGAGGUCUACGCCAUCGAACCUGUUGGUUCCCACUCUGUUCUGGUAGGGAUCCCGGGAUCUGACAUCAGGAAUCUGGUCAGCCAUUCUAAAGGAAAAAUGGGCCCUUUUCCAGAGGAAUGUCUGUAAAUGAUCCAGGUAAAGAGACUAUCUAAUUAAAAUCAUUUGACUAUGGACAAUUGAGUCAAAUUUGCUAAAAGAACAUAGGGGGGGUUCUAUUGGAACUUAACUGCCCCAAAUGUAUAAAGGUGAUGUAAUCUAUGUACAGCUAUGUAAAAACAAAGCAGUGUAAGAGGGAUGUUAAGGGAGAGAAAAUGUGUAUGUAUCUGUCUGUCUGUGGGAAUAUGUGAGGUUUGUAAAACUCCUGUUUUGUAAGUUUAAGAUAAAUUGGUUUUGUUUUGUUUAUAAUGCCACUAAAAAUCCAUUUGAUUCUUUAAUUCAAAGCUGCAAAACUGACAGACCUUUUUGCCAGACACAGGUAAUCAGUGUUGGUUGACUUUGAGAUUUGGUAUUUAACCCUUAAGGGGUAACUUGAUUCUUUACAAAAUUUAAAUGUUUUCAAAUAAAGACCAAGUCAUGACUGCAGCAGGACAGUCAAAAUCAGAAAAAUGGGGAGAGAUUCUGGAUUCUGUUUGUUUGUUUGUUUUUGUAACAAAAUAGCAAAUGAAAGCUGUAGGAAAAGAAUAAAAUCAGUGGCCCUCUGAAGCAACAGCAGGGGUGAGGUGCACAAAACAAAAAGAAGAAAUGUUAGAAACACUGAGCCUUAAAAUGGCUCUGUGUAAUCAGACUGUCACUUUGAUAAGGGUACAUAAAACUCUGUAAGAACAAAAGAAACAGUUACACUUAUGUAAAAAUUAAUAUGGCUAAUGUUUUAAAAGUUAAAGUAUAGAAGGAAUGUGCAGACAUGUGCAGUGUAUAUUAUAGAGGGGGUAAAAGAAAUGCAAACGAAACAUGCUACUUAAUUAAAAUCCUAUUAGGGCUCCAAAGGAGCCACAAUAGACUGUGUUUUCUUUUUCAGAUCUAUGUGUGUUUUGGAAGCAAGAGUUAAAAGUAAUCAAAACUCUGGUAAAAGUUAAUUGUGUUCCUUUUAAGACAGAGUCUCUGAGCUCUGCUAAUGGUUUUGAAUCCAAAAGCCAAGCCUGUGUGGAUGCAAAUUAUCUAACUGAUAAAGGAAGUGAGAGAACUGCCAGCACAAAGAAGUUGCAGAUAAAGAACAUACCUGGUCAGCAAACAAAUUGUCUAAAUAAAAGGCACGAUAUAACAAGAUACCUUUAAUUAAAAUAAAUUUAAUGUUACUACGUACCCCUGUAACAAUGUAUAGUGUGUAUGAUUUUUGAAGAAAAAAAAUCCUUUAUGGUAAUGAUGCUUUUCAGCUGUUACCUGUGAACAAACUUAAAGCUUAAUCCAGCAGGAAAGACAUUGUAACCUUGGUCUGCUGUAAAGGGAAAACUGAGGUACACCACCUCAUGGAUUUAAUGACUGAACAGUGGGAUAAUUUCCCCAUAACUCUUAAAAGAUAGAAGCCAUUAAAACCUGGCCUGCCUAUAGAACAAAAACACAGGAAAAUAUGGAGGUAAUUCCUCUUGUUUUGCCUGCAAUCAGUAAGGGUAUUUGUAAAAGAAAGGAAUAUUUUAAGCAAUAAUGAAUGCCACCCCAAAAGGGGUAGAAAAAAUAUUAUUUUUGUCUUUCAGGAAAAGCUAAUAUCAGCUACAGGACAACCUAAUAAGAAACAAAUAAAAGUGGGUAUGCUUAUCCAUGCCUGUUGCUCCAAAGCCCUGUAGUAAAGACAUCUCACUAGGAUCCUGUAUGUGGGAUAAAAUGAAUAAUGAGACCAAAGUACUGUAUAAUGGGCUAU